GUGCGGCGACCGUGCCACCGGCUACCACUUCCACGUCAUGACGUGCGAGGGCUGCAAGGGCUUCUUCAGGCGCUCCAUCAACAAGGGCGUCCGCUUCACGUGCCCCUUCGCGCGGAGCUGCCCCGUCACCAAGGCCAAGCGGCGGCAGUGCCAGGCCUGCCGCCUCCAGAAGUGCCUCGACGUGGGCAUGAGGAAGGACAGUGAG